rnacentral:rRNA from 1 species
AUAACGGUCCUAAGGUAGCGAAAUUCCUUGUCGGGUAAGUUCCGACCCGCACGAAUGGCGUAACGAUGGCCACACUGUCUCCUCCUGAGACUCAGCGAAGUUGAAGUGGUUGUGAAGAUGCAAUCUACCCGCUGCUAGACGGAAAGACCCCGUGAACCUUUACUGUAGCUUUGCAUUGGACUUUGAAGUCACUUGUGUAGGAUAGGUGGGAGGCUUUGAAGCAGAGACGCCAGUCUCUGUGGAGCCGUCCUUGAAAUACCACCCUGGUGUCUUUGAGGUUCUAACCCAGACCCGUAAUCCGGGUCGGGGACCGUGCAUGGUAGGCAGUUUGACUGGGGCGGUCUCCUCCCAAAGAGUAACGGAGGAGUUCGAAGGUUACCUAGGUCCGGUCGGAAAUCGGACUGAUAGUGCAAUGGCAAAAGGUAGCUUAACUGCGAGACCGACAAGUCGAGCAGGUGCGAAAGCAGGACAUAGUGAUCCGGUGGUUCUGUAUGGAAGGGCCAUCGCUCAACGGAUAAAAGGUACUCCGGGGAUAACAGGCUGAUUCCGCCCAAGAGUUCAUAUCGACGGCGGAGUUUGGCACCUCGAUGUCGGCUCAUCACAUCCUGGGGCUGUAGUCGGUCCCAAGGGUAUGGCUGUUCGCCAUUUAAAGUGGUACGUGAGCUGGGUUUAAAACGUCGUGAGACAGUUUGGUCCCUAUCUGCAGUGGGCGUUGGAAGUUUGACGGGGGCUGCUCCUAGUACGAGAGGACCGGAGUGGACGAACCUCUGGUGUACCGGUUGUAACGCCAGUUGCAUAGCCGGGUAGCUAAGUUCGGAAGAGAUAAGCGCUGAAAGCAUCUAAGCGCGAAACUCGCCUGAAGAUGAGACUUCCCUUGCGGUUUAACCGCACUAAAGAGUCGUUCGAGACCAGGACGUUGAUAGGUGGGGUGUGGAAGC